GCAACGCGAAGAACCUUACCAAGGCUUGACAUAUAGAGGAAACGGCUGGAAACAGUCGCCCCGCAAGGUCUCUAUACAGGUGGUGCAUGGUUGUCGUCAGCUCGUGUUGUGAGAUGUUGGGUUAAGUCCCGCAACGAGCGCAACCCUCGUCCUAUGUUGCCAGCACGUAAUGGUGGGAACUCAUGGGAUACAGCCGGCGUCAACUCGGAGGAAGGGGGGGAUGACGUCAAAUCAUCAUGCCCCUUAUGUCUUGGGCUUCACGCAUGCUACAAUGGCCGGUACAAAGGGCUGCAAUACCGCAAGGUGGAGCGAAUCCCAAAAAGCCGGUCUCAGUUCGGA
rnacentral:rRNA from 1 species